rnacentral:rRNA from 1 species
UACAGAGGGGCCAAGCGUUGUCCGGAAUCACUGGGCGUAAAGCGCACGUAGGCGGCUUGCUAAGUCAGGGGUGAAAUCCUGGAGCUCAACUCCAGAACUGCCUUUGAUACUGGCGACCUUGAGUCCGGGAGAGGUGAGUGGAACUGCGAGUGUAGAGGUGAAAUUCGUAGAUAUUCGCAAGAACACCAGUGGCGAAGGCGGCUCACUGGCCCGGUACUGACGCUGAGGUGCGAAAGCGUGGGGAGCAAACAGG